AUACGUAGGUGGCAAGCGUUGUCCGGAAUUAUUGGGCGUAAAGCGCAUGUAGGCGGUUUGGUAAGUCGGUCGUGAAAAUGCGGUGCUUAACGCCGUAUGGCGAUUGAAACUGCUGAACUUGAGUGCAGGAGAGGAAAGGGGAACUCCCAGUGUAGCGGUGAAAUGCGUAGAUAUUGGGAAGAACACCGGUGGCGAAGGCGCCUUUCUGGACUGUGUCUGACGCUCAGAUGCGAAAGCCAGGGUAGCGAACGGGAUUAGAUACCCCGGUAGUCCUGGCCGUAAACGAUGGGUACUAGGUGUGGGAGGUAUCGACUCCUUCCGUGCCGGAGUUAACGCAAUAAGUACCCCGCCUGGGGAGUACGGCCGCAAGGCUUAAACUCAAAGGAAUUGACGGGG
rnacentral:rRNA from 1 species